rnacentral:rRNA from 1 species
ACAUGCAAGUCGCACGAGAACUCUUCUGCUUGCAGAAGAUAGUAAAGUGGCGCACGGGUGAGUAACGCGUGGGUAAUCUACCUCCGAAUCGGGGAUAACCCCGCGAAAGCGGGGCUAAUACCGGAUAAUAUCUUUUAUAUUUCGGCAUUUAAGAUCAAAGGUGGUCUCUACAUGUAAGCUACUGUUUGGAGAUGAGCCCGCGUGCCAUUAGCUUGUUGGUAGGGUAAUGGCCUACCAAGGCUACGAUGGCUAGCUGGUCUGAGAGGAUGAUCAGCCACACUGGAACUGACACACGGUCCAGACUCCUACGGGAGGCAGCAGUGAGGAAUUUUGCGCAAUGGGGGAAACCCUGACGCAGCAACGCCGCGUGAGUGAUGAAGGCUUUCGGGUCGUAAAGCUCUGUCAAGUGGGAAGAACAUGCUCGAUGUUAAUACCAUCGUGCACUGACGGUACCACUGAAGGAAGCACCGGCUAACUCCGUG